rnacentral:rRNA from 1 species
ACCGGCAAACCACCCGGCGCCGCCGUGGCAUUGCUUCCGCCGGUGGCGAGCGGCGUUUCCGCGAUCGCGGCGUUGGGUACGCUCGUCACCAAGGGCCUCCCUGCCGUGAUACACGACCUGCACGGCGAGCUGGGCAGCGUGUUCACGGUGAGCCUCUUGGGGUUGAAGAAGGUGACGUUCCUGGUCGGGCCGGAGGUGACGGCUCACUUCUUCAAAGGCUCCGAGUCGGAGAUCAGGCAGUCGGAUAUCUACAAGAUCACCGUGCCUAUCUUCGGCCGCGGGGUCCUCUUCGACGUGGAUCUGCCGACCAGGAGCAGGCAGAUCAGCUUCCUGUCCGACGCCAUAAAGCCCGUCAACUUGAGGGGCCAUGUGGAUUCCAUGGUUCGUGAAGUGGAGGACUACUUUGGCAAAUGGGGAGAGCAUGGCACGGUGGAUCUGAAGCAGGAGCUCGGGCUGGUACUCAUGCGGAUCGCCAACCGGUGCCUGCUCGGAGAACAGAUCCGAGACAACAUGUUCGACGAAGUAACCCAUCUCCUUCACGAGCUCUUCGAAAACGGCUUGCACAUGGCCAGCCUCUUCUUCCCGUACCUCCCGAUCACACCACACCGCCGGCGCGACGCGGCCCGGGCCAAGCUGGGGGAGAUAUUCCACGAGGCCGUCAGAGCACGCAGGACCUCGGGCCGAGCCGAGAACGACGUGCUACAGAAGCUCGUGGAGUCAAGGUACGCCGACGGCCGCCCCGUGACCGAGAGCGAGAUCGCCGGGCUACUCAUCGGCAUGAUUUUCGCCGGGCAGCACACGAGCGCCAGCGCCGCUAUCUGGACAGGAGCUUGCCUGCUCAGCCAUGGAGACGGCCGCCACCUCGAGGCCGCCGUCGAGGAGCAGAGACAGAUCAUCUUUCGACACGGCAGGGAACGCGUCGACUACGACGUCCUGCGAGAGAUGGGCACCCUGCGUUGCUGCAUCAUGGAGGCGCUCAGGAUGCACGCUCCGGCGAACGUGAUCAUCCGCCAGGCGAACAAGAGCUUCGGCGUGCAAGCAAGAGAUGGCAGCAGAUACGCGAUCCCCAAGGGGCAUACCUUGGUAACCUCGCCGGCGGUGAACAACAGGCUGCCACACAUUUUCGAGGACCCUCAUGUGUAUGACCCGUCUAGGUUUGGCCCUGGGAGAGAGGAGGACAAAGUUGGCGGCAAGUUCUCGUUCACGCCCUUUAGUGCCGGGAGGCACGUUUGCUUGGGGGAGGACUAUGCUUACAUGCAGAUCAAGGUGAUAUGGAGCCAUCUGCUAAGGAACUUUGAGCUCAAGAUCGUCUCCCCUUUCCCUGACGAGGAAUGGGAGAAAUUCAUUCCAGGGCCAAGAGGCAAAGUGAUGGUUACUUACAAGAGGAGGCUGCUGGAAUGA